rnacentral:rRNA from 1 species
AUUGAACGCUGGCGGAAUGCUUUACACAUGCAAGUCGAACGGCAGCACGGGAGCUUGCUCCUGGUGGCGAGUGGCGAACGGGUGAGUAAUAUAUCGGAACGUAUCCAAUAAUGGGGGAUAACUAGUCGAAAGAUUAGCUAAUACCGCAUACGCCCUGAGGGGGAAAGCUGGGGGAUCUUCGGACCUAGCGUUAAUGGAGCGGCCGAUAUCUGAUUAGCUAGUAGGUGAGGUAAGAGCUCACCUAGGCGACGAUCAGUAGCUGGUCUGAGAGGACGACCAGCCACACUGGAACUGAGACACGGUCCAGACUCCUACGGGAGGCAGCAGUGGGGAAUUUUGGACAAUGGGCGCAAGCCUGAUCCAGCCAUUCCGCGUGAGUG